rnacentral:rRNA from 1 species
GUGAACGCUGGCGGCAGGCCUAACACAUGCAAGUCGAGCGGCAGCGCGGGGGCAAUCCUGGCGGCGAGCGGCGGACGGGUGAGGAAUUCGUCGGAAUCUGCCUUUUUGUGGGGGAUAACGUAGGGAAACUUACGCUAAUACCGCAUACGACCUACGGGUGAAAGUGGGGGACCUUCGGGCCUCACGCAGAAAGAUGAGCCGACGACCGAUUAGCUAGUUGGUAGGGUAAAGGCCUACCAAGGCGACGAUCGGUGGCUG